rnacentral:rRNA from 1 species
UACGAAGGGGGCUAGCGUUGCUCGGAAUCACUGGGCGUAAAGCGCACGUAGGCGGAUUGUUAAGUCAGGGGUGAAAUCCUGGAGCUCAACUCCAGAACUGCCUUUGAUACUGGCGAUCUUGAGUCCGGGAGAGGUGAGUGGAAUUGCGAGUGUAGAGGUGAAAUUCGUAGAUAUUCGCAAGAACACCAGUGGCGAAGGCGGCUCACUGGCCCGGUACUGACGCUGAGGUGCGAAAGCGUGGGGAGCAAACAGGG